AAGCCCUUACGGGGAAAGUUUUAACGCCGAAAGAUGAGCCCGCACUUGAUUAGCUAGUUGGUAAGGUAAAAGCUUACCAAGGCAACGAUCAAUAGCUGUUCUUAGAGGAAGACCAGCCACAUUGGGACUGAGACACGGCCCAGACUCCUACGGGAGGCAGCAGUGGGGAAUCUUGCACAAUGGGGGAAACCCUGAUGCAGCGAUGCCGCGUGAGUGA
rnacentral:rRNA from 1 species